rnacentral:rRNA from 1 species
GAGACACGGCCCAGACUCCUACGGGAGGCAGCAGUGGGGAAUUUUGGACAAUGGGCGCAAGCCUGAUCCAGCAAUGCCGCGUGAGUGAAGAAGGCCUUCGGGUUGUAAAGCUCUUUUGUCAGGGAAGAAACGGUGGGAGCUAAUAUCUCCCACUAAUGACGGUACCUGAAGAAUAAGCACCGGCUAACUACGUGCCAGCAGCCGCGGUAAUACGUAGGGUGCAAGCGUUAAUCGGAAUUACUGGGCGUAAAGCGUGCGCAGGCGGUUUUGUAAGUCUGUCGUGAAAUCCCCGGGCUCAACCUGGGAAUUGCGAUGGAGACUGCAAGGCUAGAAUCUGGCAGAGGGGGGUAGAAUUCCACGUGUAGCAGUGAAAUGCGUAGAGAUGUGGAGGAACACCGAUGGCGAAGGCAGCCCCCUGGGUCAAGAUUGACGCUCAUGCACGAAAGCGUGGGGAGCAAACAGGAUUAGAUACCCUGGUAGUCCACGCCCUAAACGAUGUCUACUAGUUGUCGGGUCUUAAUUGACUUGGUAACGCAGCUAACGCGUGAAGUAGACCGCCUGGGGAGUACGGUCGCAAGAUUAAAACUCAAAGGAAUUGAC